UACGGAGGGGGCUAGCGUUGUUCGGAAUUACUGGGCGUAAAGCGCACGUAGGCGGCUUUUUAAGUCAGAGGUGAAAGCCCGGGGCUCAACCCCGGAACUGCCUUUGAGACUGGGAGGCUUGAUCGUCGGAGAGGUGAGUGGAAUUCCGAGUGUAGAGGUGAAAUUCGUAGAUAUUCGGAAGAACACCAGUGGCGAAGGCGGCUCACUGGACGACUGAUGACGCUGAGGUGCGAAAGCGUGGGGAGCAAACAGG
rnacentral:rRNA from 1 species